UACGUAGGGUGCGAGCGUUGUCCGGAAUUAUUGGGCGUAAAGAGCUUGUAGGCGGUUUGUCGCGUCUGCCGUGAAAAUCCGGGGCUCAACCCCGGACUUGCGGUGGGUACGGGCAGACUAGAGUGUGGUAGGGGAGACUGGAAUUCCUGGUGUAGCGGUGAAAUGCGUAGAUAUCUGGAGGAACACCGGUGGCGAAGGCGGCGUUCUGGACUGUCUCUGACACUGAAGAACGAAAGCCAGGGGAGCAAACGGG
rnacentral:rRNA from 1 species